AUAAUUUGUUUGAUUUAUUGAAUGUCAAUUUCUCAAUCAUGAAACAUUGAACAAAUAAAUGUAAAUCACCAAUCAAUAACCUACAUCCAAAUGAUAAGAUCUUCAAUGCCUUGUAUAAGAGUCAUCUAUAGCUUGUUUUUAUUUAAUUUGCAAUAUUUAAUUAUUUUUUAGAGCUAGAUUAAUUGAAUAAGAAAGUUGGGCAGUGUUUAAGAUUCGAAUGGCUAGUAAUCCCAGGAACCAUGCUAACAGGGAAGCAAUGGAUGUCAUGUCCUGUUCCUAUGGCACUGCUAUAUUGUUUAAGUUGUUCUUAGUGACUAAGGUUACAUUAAGUUUGUAGGAUGGAGACCUUUUCAAGAAGUUUUUUUUAAAGACAAACUUUUUUUUCUGUCUCUAAGUUCUCAGGAAUUUCAAUCCUCCCCACCUCUUCCAUUCCAUACACACACACACUUGUACAAUUAAUUGUAGUUAUUACGCUCGUAUUCCAAAGUCUGUACUUUAUAAUAUGGUCACUUACUUUCUAUGUUUUUUAUAUAACUUUAGAAUCCAACUAAAUUUUACGUCUCAUAUAUAGGCCAGCGUGAUGAGUUUUUCUACGCUUUGUCAGAUAUUUGUGUUACUUUUGUUCAGAUGUCUAAGAAAAUCUCUCUCCCACAGUCGAUACAAUCAGCGUCUCUUAAGGUAAAGACUCAACACCACACCUUCACUAGAUCUACAUGUAAAAGUGAGUUAGUCAGGCCUGCAUACAUUACAGAGACAUUAACAUUGGAAGAAAAAUAGAAUAAAAGUGUCUCUACCUGGUAAUAUGAGAACCUCUUCAGAAUCCUUCUAUCCUUUCAACAUUCUCCUUUAUUCCCC